AACCCUUGUGGAGGAGGACGCCGAAGGUGGGGCUAAUGACUGGGGUGAAGUCGUAACAAGGUAGCCGUACCGGAAGGUGCGGCUGGAUCACCUCCUAACAGGGAGACAACAAAAUGUUUAAUAUUAUUAUUUUGUCACCUUAGGUCGAUCGGUAUCUCACGUUCUUAAUUUAUUAAGAAUUUCAUUUCCUAAGUUUUUCUAGGUCACACCCAUUAUUUUUCCUGGGCCAUUAGCUCAGGUGGUUAGAGCGCACCCCUGAUAAGGGUGAGGUCCCUGGUUCAAGUCCAGGAUGGCCCAUAUCUCUAUGUUGGGGGUAUAGCUCAGUUGGUAGAGCGCCUGCUUUGCAAGCAGGAUGUCAGCGGUUCGAGUCCGCUUACCUCCACUGAUUACCACCUCUUCCAUAAUUUGAAGAAAGGAAAUUUUUUGAGUUGUGAUCAAAUUCUGAACGAAUCUAGCUUCCUAAUGAAUCUAUUAAGAUGCUGGACUCAUUGAAUUAAUUUUCAUUGUUUUCAGAGAACCUUGACAACUGCAUAGAUUAUUUUUAAAGACAAUAAGCAUCUUUAAUGAUGCAGAUUUAUUAUUUGUGCGAAUGCAUUAAUAACAAUUCUAUUAAGCUGAUGCUUCAAUUUAAUGAAGUUAUUGGUCAAGCUACAAAGGGCUCACGGAGGAUACCUAGGCACACAGA
rnacentral:misc_RNA from 1 species